UUACGGCCACAUCACGUUGAAACAUCAGUUCCCGUACGAUUACCGAAUUUAAGCAACGUCUAGCCUGGUCAGUACAUAGAUGGGUGACUACUUGGGAAAGUUG